UACGUAGGGCGCAAGCGUUGUCCGGAAUUAUUGGGCGUAAAGAGCUCGUAGGCGGUUUGUCGCGUCUGCUGUGAAAACCUAAGGCUCAACCUUGGGCUUGCAGUGGGUACGGGCAGACUAGAGUGCGGUAGGGGUGACUGGAAUUCCUGGUGUAGCGGUGGAAUGCGCAGAUAUCAGGAGGAACACCGAUGGGCGAAGGCAG
rnacentral:rRNA from 1 species